UGCCUGUACCGGUUUAAAAUCGGUGAUGGUUAUGUGGGCAAGUCAUGCAUGCUGUAUAGAUACUUAAAUGGCUUGUUUCCAGAGCAAAUAAAUGUAAACAUUGGAGCGAGCUGCUGCGAUCACAUCCUAGAGGUGGAGCCUGGCGUGAGAGUACAGCUACAGAUUUGGGAUAGGAAUGGGCAUAAAUCAUUUUGGAAUCGUCAGCUGAUCCAGAUUUACAUUGGUCAGUCAGCUGGAUGCCUGCUGGUGUUUGACCUGGGCAGUCGUGAGUCUUUCGAAGUCCUUAAGCAUCGUACACAGAGAUGUGUAAUGGAGCGAUGUUGCUUUUAGCUAGGCCUAUAUGAUGAAUGCAGUAUGCUCAGCUUAUAUCAUGUUAAAAAAACAGAUGCUGCAUUUGGAAACUUUGGAGUCUCAAGACAAAGUCUGUACUUCCCCUUAUUGCCAUUCAGAAAAAUGCAUGUCGAGUUUAGUGAAGGAAACGCUAAAAUGCCUUUGACUAACACAAUAAUACUAAAGAAAUUGUCUCUUUUCUCUGUAAACAAAUAAUGGACUUUUUCCACUUCACUGUAUCUCCACCCUUGGUGACCUGAUCCAAAUUACAUUCAAGUAAACAGUGUACAAAGGCUUAUCAUUUACUUUUUAUGCUUCUGGAUCUAUAAAAUCUGAUAAAGCAAUAAAAAAGUGUGGCUAGUAUAACA